rnacentral:lncRNA from 1 species
AUUAUUGUUAACAAAGAUGAGGACAAUCCAAUAUUGAUUACCAAUCAGAAAUUUUUCAGAAAGGAUCUUCAUUACCUGGAUCAACUAUGGUUGACAUAUGUCAAUGUUCUUUGGGUCAUUGUUGAGAUGAAGGUUAGGAGAGGGAGUGUCUGUAACUCUGAACCUUGAGUUGUCUCAUUCCGAGUCGUCGUCGACUACCAAGAUGUCUUUAAGCCAAUCUUUAUCUUGUCAAAGGAUAUCCAAGAUAUAUGGCCCCCAAAAAAGGCUGGGUCUUGGAAGGAAAUAAUAGUGGCCAUUGUUGUGAUAAUUGUAAGUGCACAAUAUCGUCCAAGUAAUUUAGUGAUAAGUAGAGUGUUGUUCUAACAAGAAUCGCAUUACCUUAAAUUUACUAUUUUGAUUAACUUCAAGCUAAAAUUAAAUAAAAGAAGGAUUAUGACUCACAAAUUCAAAUAUCCAAAGAAAUGAAAUGCAAGGAAAAAUAACAUUGGGUUGUGUUUGUACCAUACUUGACCAAUCCCGAAACUACUGAGUACCGGUCAACGUUAUACCGUCAAGGACCCAGAAGAGUUUCCCUCCAACCAGGAGGCCAAUCACUGCGCGACAUGUGUCGACAUCAGAAGCCAAUCAUAGCGCGACACGUGUCAACAUCAAAAGCCAAUCACAACACGACAUGUGUCAAUGUCAGAAUGAAACUAGAAACUCUCUUCUAUAAAUAGAGAUCAUUCUCUCACAAUAUUUCCUAAUGUCAUUUGUACUAAAUCAUUCACUAGUACUCACAAAAUGAGAGCUUGAACCUAUGGACUUGUGUAAACCCUUCACAAUUAAUGAGAACUCCUCUACUCCGUGGACGUAGCCAAUCUGGGUAAACCACGUACAUCUUGUGUUUGCUUCCUUGUCUCUAUCCAUUUACAUACUUAUCCCCACUAGUGAUAGGAGCAAUCUAGCGAAGGUCAUAAACUUAACACUUUCUGUUGUACCAAAGUCCUCACUGAUUUUGUACAUCAACAUUUGGCGCCGUCUGUGGGAACAACACUUAUUCCCACUCUCUUCAGCUUUGUUCAAAUGGUUUCCACCAUUCAUACACUCUCUUUUGACCAGGCAUCCCUCUCCUAGAUGGGGAGCGAAGGAAGCCACAGCACACAGACUUUUGCACUUAGUGCGAAGCAACGAAAGAAUGAAGGAAAGAAGGUCGCUCUUCAAGCUAAAGUCGAUGAGCU